rnacentral:rRNA from 1 species
CAGCACCUCAAGUGGUCAGGAUGAUUAUUGGGCCUAAAGCAUCCGUAGCCGGCUCUGUAAGUUUUCGGUUAAAUCUGUAUGCUCAACAUACAGGCUGCCGGGAAUACUGCAGAGCUAGGGAGUGGGAGAGGUAGAUGGUACUCGGUAGGAAGGGGUAAAAUCCUUUGAUCUAUUGAUGACCACCUGUGGCGAAGGCGGUCUACCAGAACACGUCCGACGGUGAGGGAUGAAAGCUGGGGGAGCAAACCGGAUUAGAUACCCGAGUAGUCC